AUCCAGAUGACGAGUCCCAGAUAGGACGAAUGGCGCCUUGUUCUGGAU
rnacentral:hammerhead_ribozyme from 1 species